UCAGUCACUACUAAACCAACAGGAAUACAGCUUUUUCAAUAUCACUGCAGAGAAAGAGAAGGAAAGGUGGCAUUCGUGAUUCCAGAGCGCUGCGCCUCAUCACGGCAGUAACAGGGAAGAAAAAGUCACUGGAAGAGAAGGUACAAAUCCAGUGCUUGCCAGAAAACAUCCUUUCAGCCUUGACACAAGUUGUCUGAAGCUCUGUCUAUGCCAACCCCAACCAUUGUGCCAUCAUCAGAGACAUUUGGAGGUUUCUGUGGUACAUUGCAGGGAGCUGCAGCUGCUGUUCACAGGAAACACAUCCAGACGUAACAAGAAGCAGGGAUUGAACAAGAUAAGAUCUGCACUUGCAAGCAGCCAGAAAGCCACGCGUUACCCAUAUGAGGGAAGAUCACCCACACGGCACAGAUCUGCCAUGAGCAUUGGGAGGGGAGGAGGCAGUUCAGCCAAGUGUACCAUGGAUGCCCUUGCAUUGUGGAGAAAGGCACAAGCAAUUGGAUUUAACCAGCUGGGUGGAAUUUGAUUUGAUUAGCUUUGGCACAGUUUCACAUACUCUCAAUUCAUCAGUGAAUGGAGUAACUAUAUUGGAAAGCUACUGGGGAAAAACAACAUUGCCCCUGAUGCUGCUGUCACGGGCAGAUAGAGCACAAUCCCAUACAGUCUCACUCUGUGUUUUUCUCUCUUCAUUGUCUCCCUAGUUAGUUUUUUUGUGCCAGUGUGUGUCUUCCUGUAUCAGGAUUCGCUGCCUUUUCUUGGUCUGAGAUCUUGGCAUGGAAAGAGCAGUAAUUACUCCAUGGUAUGACUCGAUGACUAUGAGCAAGGGUGGGAGUGCCCCCUCUUGAACAAUAAAACCCCUUGUAGAGAAAAGCCUAACUAAACAAAACAAAAUAAUGUGUAAAACCAGGCAGUGCUGCCACAAAGCUCUUUGCCAGCCAGAGAGUCUAUAUGGAGUAUGAAUAAGAGCCUACUGUGUUUUAUUCCGUUCUGCCUGUUAAAGAUCCCAUUCUAUAAAGAGGUAUCUGUUAGUCUGUUCUGAUUUCAUACAAGCCCAGGCAAAUAAAACUUCUUUAGUUUCAAUGAAGCUAGUCCUAAUUUACAGUAAGAAUGAGAACUGAACCAGCCCCAGCAAUUUGGGAUAGCAUGUUCAGACAAAACUUUUUUUCUCAAAUUCAUCUUCAGAAAAUAAAAUCACCCACUUUUAUUCAACUCUCAAUACCUAGCAAUUUUGAAAAUCAGUCAUGGCAGCUCACAGUUAGAAACAUUUAAGUGUAGUAUGAGCUUACAAGUCCUGUAAUAUAAGCUAAUAGAGGUUAAUAUGCAGAGGAUUAAAGUCUUUAGAAACACAGCUCACCAGAAAAGCACGUGUCUGUACAUACAUUUGCUCAGCUGUCUAUACGAAGAAGAGCAUCAGGGAAGUUUAUUGCUUUAUCCUACAGCUCCCCAGAAGACCAGCCUUUGUUUAAAGAAUAGAUUUGAAGAAAAGUUAAAGGUUUCAGAGACAGGGAAUCAAGAUAAAUAUGGUGAACUGUACAGACUCAUCUCAAGAACUUUUUCUGUAAAACAGUCUCACACUGAAUAAAGUUCUCCUAAGUAUUAACAUCUGUAUUGAGUGAAAAUACUUUCCUUGGUUAACUUUCAAAUCAAGAGGUGAAAUUAAAAAGUAAGAACAUUCUCAGUAUGAGAAUUAAAGCUCUUUAAGCAUCCAAGUUUUCAAUAGAGAAGUGUUCAGGCAUGAGUCUUUUUGAUUUUUAGCAAGGUACUACAAUUGUAAAUAUGUAGGAACUCAGAAUUGUAGAGAAGCCAAAAAUCACCCUUCUCCAGACAAAACCCCUGUGUAUAUGCCUGGAAAAUACAGAUAAUGGAAAUAUGGAUCUUAGAGGUAAAGAACCAAAAAUCAGUUAAUGUACUUAACAAAUGAACAACAGAUAUAUAAUUUUGA